rnacentral:rRNA from 1 species
CGCUGGCGGUAUGCCUAACACAUGCAAGUCGUACGAGAUCUACUUUUUUUCGGAAAGGUAGAUUGCAGUGGCGGACGGGUGAGUAAUGCGUAAGAACUUACCUUUUGGUGGGGGAUAACAGCGGGAAACUGCUGCUAAUACCCCCAUAAUGCUGAGGAGCUAAAAGUGAAAACUGCCAAGAGAGAGGCUUGCGUCUGAUUAGCUAGUUGGUGGGGGUAAAGGCCUCCCAAGGCGACGAUCAGUAGCUGGUCUGAGAGGAUGAUCAGCCACACUGGGACUGAGACACGGCCCAGACUCCUACGGGAGGCAGCAGUGGGGAAUUUUCCACAAUGGGCGAAAGCCUGAUGGAGCAAUACCGCGUGAGGGAUGAAGCAUCGUGGUGUGUAAACCUCUUUUCUUAAGGAAGAAUCAAUGACGGUACUUAAGGAAUAAGCACCGGCUAACUCUGUG